ACAGAAGGGGAGAGGAGGAAAGCUCCCUAACCCUAAUCAAAUACUCCAACCACCAUAUCUUCCUCGUUUGAGCUCCGAUCGCCGCACUGUUUGCGGCCAUGCGUCCAGCGUGUCGAGCUCUACCUUUCUAUCGGAUCAAUUUCACUGGUUCAAGUUAGCUUCCGGGACUUAUGGGCUCAAGCUAUUGAGCAUAUGAGUAUGGUGUAGAUUAAGUGGGUAUAUAAGCAUUGGAAUUGAAUUGGGAGUACUUGGAGGCUUAUUGGUGAUCAAGGCUUGUUUUAGGACUGUUUUAAUUGAGCUUAGAGGGGCUGUGAUUUGUGUUGUGAGGCUGCCUUGGGUGAAACUAAGUGAUCGGCCAAGAUGCAGGUCGAGAGGCUCCUCGCUAGGCGUCUGGAUCCUGGGAAGCGAAGUAGUCCUU